ACUUGUUAUGAUGAUUGGCUAUGUUCAACUGCUCUGAACUGUGAAUGACAGCUGCCUCUCUGAACAACA